rnacentral:rRNA from 1 species
CAGUAGCCACGGGAAUACGUAGGGUGCAAGCGUUAAUCGGAAUUACUGGGCGUAAAGCGUGCGCAGGCGGUUUGUUAAGGCAGAUGUGAAAUCCCCGGGCUCAACCUGGGAACUGCAUUUGUGACUGGCAGGCUAGAGUAUGGCAGAGGGGGGUGGAAUUCCGCGUGUAGCAGUGAAAUGCGUAGAUAUGCGGAGGAACACCGAUGGCGAAGGCAGCCCCCUGGGCCAAUACUGACGCUCACGCACGAAAGCGUGGGGAGCAAACAGGAUUAGAUACCCCCGUAGUCCCUGUCUCUUAUAC